GUCAGGUCCAGCUGCUUCCCUGAUGGAUGGAGCCAGCACCGUGAUGAAUUUAUGAUUCUCUUUUAUUUUUUAAAUGUUCUUAUUUAUGGGAAGGACUGACACAAGUCCUCACCCAAUGUCACCGGUGCAUUUUACCAGGGCAGGAGAUAAGGCAAGAGACUUAGAGUGAAGAUAGAUUGGAUGACUCAGAAUAUCCUGGUUAAAAGCUGAAGGACAGAAAGAUUAAGUAGGUCCCCGAGAGACCAGGAAAUAAACCCUUCCAAAGAUGCACGGAUGAGCUGCAGGCAAGUCUAUCACUGUGUGGCCAAAGGAGGAAGCUGGAAGGAGCUGGGUGGAUGCAAUCGAAGCCAAGUGAGAAGGGGAAAACAGAAGGCACAGGACUUCAUUCCCCAUUCACUUUAAGGUCCUGUGCGGAGCACUGCUCAGCUGGGCCUAAGGAUCUGGCUCCAUACACCAAGUCCCGGCGAGAUUCCAGAAGGAGGGAACAAGGGCUUGUUCAAGGUCCCUGAACUGAAAUCUGGAUGGGAGUGAGCCUCAGGAUAUAGGAAAAGCAAGGAGCAACUGCAUCACAUGGACUUAAGUGACAUGACUGGGGGAGGUCUCUGUGAAGUUCUCUGCAAGCGGGAGAGGACUCUCGCCCUACCAGAGGAGGAAUCGCUUCAGAGAUGUAACGUCCAAAUGAACGGCUGUAUAAUGAGAGAGAAGCAGCGCCAGCGCGGGGGGACCGGUUGUUAUGAAAUCUCUCUUUGCCUGUUUACUUUGAGCUGCUCAGAUGCGGACAGAUUUGAUGCCUGGGAAGGUGCUCCACGGAUCCCCGCACUGCUCGGAAAUCAGGCUACAAGGUUGCCGUUAAGCUGUGCAAGAUGUGACCAUCCUCCAAGCCCCCCAAAAGCACAGCAGCCCCUAUUUUGUUUUUCCUCGUGCAAAUCAGACACUGAGCUAUUUUCUGAUCACUUUUGCACUGUCCAGUUUCCUCAUCCCUCUACUGUAACCACUCCCAAGGCUUCCAGCUGGGUGGGAAAGCUCUCAUGUCUGUCCAGAGAACCCUUUGGAGAUGUCCAUCUUCUCUAUAUAACCCAUGCAUUUAAAUAGUGCUCCUAACCACAGCACCUGAGCUAUAGAGAAGAAGUGAGUCAUUGGUACAAUAUAUGUAUAUUGGAUCUGGACAAACAUUUGGUUGUUUUCUUUCCCCCCCCGAUAAAAGGCUUUUUGCCAGGAUGGACCAAAAAAAAAAAUCUCUUCCCGUGGAAACAUUCCCCCAUCGUGUCCCCUGCAAAUUUGACAAUUUUCAGUGAAAUUUUUUAUGAGCUGGGAAAAAUAGUUCCCGACCAGCUCUUGUUUGUAUCAUAAAGAUGACCUUGUUUUAGCAUCACCAGAAACGUGCUUCUCUGGCAGCAAAUCUGGUUUGUAGGAAUGAAUAUUGAAAUGAAAGCCAGGACUCCUGAGUUCUAUUCUCUACUCUGCCAUUAGCUAGUUAUGUACCUUGGGCAGGUUGUCCGCCUCAGUUUCCCUCCCUGUAUUAAAUGCAUUACCUUUUGCAUUCAUUCCCCGUGUAUGAAAUGGGGAAAGUAGCCGUUUUCCUGCUCCCAGGAAACAACAAGCAUGGGUGAAUUCAUGAAUGCAAAGUGCUGUGUAUAAGUAUGAAAUAUCACCAUGAGAGUUAAGUGAUCUGCAACCUGCUCUUUGUUUCAUGGAUUUGAUCAAGGUAGUGCAACAAAGCUCCCUCCCUCCCUCCAUGACUAGUAUUUCUUAGAAAAGAGUUCUUGUUUGCAAAGAAUCCUUGAAUAAAAUGUUGAUAAC
ensembl:lncRNA